ensembl:misc_RNA Metazoa_SRP Metazoan signal recognition particle RNA
GCUAGGCAUGGUGGCGCAUGCCUGUAAUCCCAGCUACUUGGGAGGCUGAGGCAGGAGAAUUUCUUGAACUCAGGAGGUGGAGGUUGCAGUGACCUGAGAUCGCACCACUGCACUCCAGCCUGGGUGACACAGUGAGAUUCUGUCUCAA